CCGGUUUCUCCGGCAGCACUGGGUGCAAUUCAUCAACACACCCCGGAGAGGAUGCCAAUUCAUUGUGGAACCUGUGCAAAUCAAGCAUGUCUUCACAAGACUAGUAUUUGAAGACGCUAUAUUUCCUACAUGUGAAAAAGGUCAAGAAGCUUAAUACGAUUUUAACAGAUGUGUUGGCCACUCUUGGGAGAAUGAUACUUGGCAGUGGUAUGUCCCAUCUGUCAGAUAGAAGAGAACGGGUAAGGCUGAGUGAGUGUAUAUGCACUGGUGUGUGAAUGAAAUGUUUGAUAUGGAUGAGAAUCUGUGGGGGAUGGUAUCUUGUGUCAGGAUAUAUAGAUUA